rnacentral:misc_RNA from 1 species
GCAAAGUUCAGAAAUUAGUUUUAGAUACCAAUUAUCUACAUGGUACCAGAGCAGGUUUCGAUCUAGGAGAUGGUUAUUUUUUCUUGUCCUUCUGAAAUUCUCUCAAAAACUUGAAGAAUUCCAUUAGAAGAUUUGCGUAAAGCAAAGAAUGGAGGAACAUGUUGUAAUGAGAGGUCGAAAUCAAGUUGAAAGAGAAACUGUAAGAAAUCAGAAUAUAGGAGAUCCAAUGAAUUUACUAGAAUCUGAUCAUCCAGGUAUGAUUCUUGUCUCAGCUCCUUUAGUUGGAAGUAAUUUUCGAUCAUGGUGUAGAGCAAUGCGAAUAGCCCUAGGAGCCAAGCAAAUAUUAGGGUUUGUUAAUGGGACAAUUCCAACACCUGAAGAGGGAUCUGAGGGUUAUGAGUUGUGGAAAAGAUGUGAUUACAUGGUCACUUCGUGGAUUUUGAACUCCAUAUCAAAAGAGUUAGUGGAGGCCUUUAUAUUCACAACUUCAUCAAAGGAGUUAUGGGAGGAGAUAGUAGAGAGAUUUGGAGAGAGUAAUGGGCCUUUGAUUUACCAAUUGCAAAGGAAAAUUUCUUCAAUCACUCAAGAAAAUGAUACUAUUGCUGUGUAUUUUAUGAAGCUUAAAGUGCUUUGGGAUUAAUUGAAUUCUAUUGAUGUUUUACCUCAGUGUGCAUGUGGAGUAGUAAAAGAGGUUACUGAGUUAAAUGAAAGAAAUAGGUUGAUGCAAUUUCUCAUGGGAUUAAAUGAUGUAUUUGAACCUGUUCGUAAUCAGAUCUUGUUACAAGAUACCCUGCCUUCAAUUAACAAGGCAUAUUUAAUGGCUCAGAAGUUUGAGACACAAAAACAAGUUCUAUCAAAUUUUUCUGAAGUAAAGGAUUCAGUUGCUUUUUUUACAAAAACACAAACUCAGUCGCAGAAUUUUAAGAGAGACCAAAGGGACCAAAGAAGGUAUGAUCCGAGGAAGGGACAUUGCACAUAUUGCAAUCUGGAUGACCAUACUAGAGAAGGGUGUUUCAAACUUAUAGGGUACCCAAAUUGGUGGCAGUCCAAGAACAAAACCACACAGUAGAAUAUUCCUCGAUAGUACAAGUUUAACUCAGAUCAAGGCAAUAGAGUUGCUGCAACAGCUGUGAAUCAGUUUUGUUUGGAUACUCCUCUUGAUAUUGCAUGUGACAAUAGUAAAAUUGAGGAGUUAAGUACAAUGUUGGGCUCAUUACAGCAGGAGAUUCAGAGACUGUCUAGAGGAAAAGCAUCAAUGACAGCUACUACUUCAUCAAUUUCACAUCCAGGAACAUCAACACUUCAGAGUGUCACUAAUUUUGCUGGUAAUUUUCGUCAAGUUAGUGCUUUAUUUGCAAAAGGAUAUGAUGACAAUUUAAGGAUAAUAGAUACAGGUGCCACAGACCACAUGGCACCUGCAUUACACUUGUUUGAUUCCCUUAUGACCCUUGUUGCACCUAUUUCUAUUCACUUACCAACUGGCAAUGUUAGUCAAGUUACCCAAGCUAGCACCAUUAGUUUACAUUCACACAUACAACUCCAAAAUGCACUUUACCUGCCUUCUUUUACCCAUAAUUUGUUGUCAGUAAGAAAGCUAGUCAAAACUUCAACUAUCAAACUCACCUUUUAUCCUUUAUUUUGUUUGCUUCAGGACUAGUAGACUGAGCAAGUAUUAGCAAUAGGAAGAGAGGCACAGGAUUAUACAUUUUGGACAAAUUGAGUUUUGUAACUUCCACAAUUGUUUCUUAUUUACAAAAGCUGCAACAAAUUUUUCCUUCUUUUCACUCUGUAAAUACCAUUCUUUCUAACUUUGAAAUCAAUAAAGAGAGUUUUAUAUGUUCCAAUGCAUC